UACAGAGGUGGCAAGCGUUAUUCGGAAUUAUUGGGCGUAAAGGGCGCGUAGGCGGCUUGAUAAGUCCCGGGUGAAAUCCCUCGGCUCAACCGAGGAACUGCCUUGGAAACUGUCUGGCUUGAGGCCGGGAGAGGGUAGUGGAAUUCCCAGUGUAGCGGUGAAAUGCGUAGAUACUGGGAGGAACACCGGUGGCGAAGGCGGCUACCUGGACCGGUUCUGACGCUGAUGCGCGAAAGCGUGGGUAGCAAACAGG
rnacentral:rRNA from 1 species